rnacentral:rRNA from 1 species
GAUGAACGCUGGCGGCGUGCCUAAUACAUGCAAGUCGAGCGAACGGACGAGAAGCUUGCUUCUCUGAUGUUAGCGGCGGACGGGUGAGUAACACGUAGAUAACCUACCUAUAAGACUGGGAUAACUUCGGGAAACCGGAGCUAAUACCAGAUAAUAUUUUGAACCGCAUGGUUCAAAAGUGAAAGACGGUCUUGCUGUCACUUAUAGAUGGAUCCGCGCUGCAUUAGCUAGUUGGUAAGGUAACGGCUUACCAAGGCAACGAUGCAUAGCCGACCUGAGAGGGUGAUCGGCCACACUGGAACUGAGACACGGUCCAGACUCCUACGGGAGGCAGCAGUAGGGAAUCUUCCGCAAUGGGCGAAAGCCUGACGGAGCAACGCCGCGUGAGCGAUGAAGGUCUUCGGAUCGUAAAACUCUGUUAUUAGGGAAGAACAUAUGUGUAAGUAACUGUGCACAUCUUGACGGUACCUAAUCAGAAAGCCACGGCUAACUACGUG